AGGGAAUAUUGCGCAAUGGGCGAAAGCCUGACGCAGCAAUACCGCGUGAGUGAGGAAGGUCUUAGGAUUGUAAAGCUCUGUCGGGAUGGAAAAAUGGCGUAGAUUCGAAUAGGGUUUACGAUUGAUGGUACAUCCAAAGGAAGCACCGGCUAACUUCGUGCCAGCAGCCGCGGUAAUACGAAGGGUGCAAGCGUUGUUCGGAUUUAUUGGGCGUAAAGCGCGCGCAGGCGGGUGAUUAAGUCAGAUGUGAAAUCUCAGGGCUCAACCCUGAAACUGCGUCUGAAACUGGUUAUCUAGAAUAUCGGAGAGGGAAGGGGAAUUUCACAUGUAGGGGUAAAAUCCGUAGAUAUGUGAAGGAAUACCAGAGGCGAAGGCGCCUUCCUGGACGAUUAUUGACGCUGAGGCGCGAAAGCGUGGGGAGCAAAC
rnacentral:rRNA from 1 species